GCUGCGGUAGCUCAGUGGUAGAGCACUCCCUUGGUAAGGGAGAGGUCGCGAGUUCAAUCCUCGCUCGCAGCACCA
rnacentral:tRNA from 1 species